rnacentral:rRNA from 1 species
AGUGAACGCUGGCGGUAGGCCUAACACAUGCAAGUCGAACGGCCGCACAGUAAGAGCUUGCUCUUACGGUUGGCGAGUGGCGGACGGGUGAGGAAUACAUCGGAAUCUACUUUUUCGUGGGGGAUAACGUAGGGAAACUUACGCUAAUACCGCAUACGACCUACGGGUGAAAGCAGGGGAUCUUCGGACCUUGCGCGAUUGAAUGAGCCGAUGUCGGAUUAGCUAGUUGGCGGGGUAAAGGCCCACCAAGGCGACGAUCCGUAGCUGGUCUGAGAGGAUGAUCAGCCACACUGGAACUGAGACACGGUCCAGACUCCUACGGGAGGCAGCAGUGGGGAAUAUUGGACAAUGGGCGCAAGCCUGAUCCAGCCAUACCGCGUGGGUGAAGAAGGCCUUCGGGUUGUAAAGCCCUUUUGUUGGGAAAGAAAAGCAGCAGGUUAAUACCCCGCUGUUCUGACGGUACCCAAAGAAUAAGCACCGGCUAACUUCGUG